CCAGCCUGGGCGACAGAACGAGACUCUGUCUCAAAAAAAAGAAAGAAAGAAAAAAAAUCAGCACCCUUUUCAAUGUCGGUAGGCUACACAUUAAGCAGUAUGCGAACAAUUUGGGAACUCACAAUAAGAUUAUUUUUCAGGGAAAGGAUGUCACCAUGAAUCACAAGGCCUACCCUAGGUCACCCAAGGGGCUGAAGCCCACUGACUUCGAGAACAGACUACGAAAGUGAAGAGCUAGAGCCUGGAGUCUCCUGAUGACCUGUGUCUUGCUGGGCUCAUCUUCCUGACUCCCCACAGCUCUAUAAACCAGGAGGCUUGGCAAAUGCAAUUGGUGAGUUGUUUUUUGUUUUUUCUUAGUCAAGUACACAAUUUCAAGUUUGAAGAAUGGAAUCAGUCGGAUUAUACUAGAGAAAACAAAUAUGCAUCUUUCUGGAUUUGUUUUAGUCUUUGUCUUACAUUGAAAAUAUCUGAGAAAUCUUGCAAAAGGGUUGGAAGGUCCACAAUGUAUUUUAUAGUUUUUAUAGAAAGAAAAUAAUGGAAAGUAAAUAGUUUUAAUG